rnacentral:rRNA from 1 species
GUGAGGAAUAUUGCGCAAUGGACGAAAGUCUGACGCAGCCAUGCCGCGUGAAGGAUUGACGGCCCUAUGGGUUGUAAACUUCUUUUGUAUAGGAAUAAACCCUCGUUCGUGAACGAGGCUGAAGGUACUAUAAGAAUAAGCACCGGCUAACUCCGUGCCAGCAGCCGCGGUAAUACGGAGGGUGCAAGCGUUAUCCGGAUUUAUUGGGUUUAAAGGGUCCGUAGGCGGAUCGUUAAGUCAGUGGUGAAAUCCUACCGCUCAACGGUAGAACUGCCAUUGAUACUGGCGAUCUUGAGUAUGUAUGACGUUGGCGGAAUGUGUGGUGUAGCUGUGAAAUGCUUAGAUAUCACACAGAACACCGAUUGCGAAGGCAGCUGACUAAUACACAACUGACGCUGAGAGACGAAAGUGUGGGGAUCAAACAGGAUUAGAUACCCGGGUAGUCC